AAUUGGGCUAAAAAAGGCACGCGCCCAAAAUAAUAAUAUUAAUAAAAGAAAUCUAUUAUAAAUGAUUCAAAUCAUUCACAAUAAUACAAAACGACAAUAUCCCCGUCGGGGCUUGGUAAGGAGAGAUUUCCGGUUCUUUCUUGUUGUAUCAAAUUAUACAGCUCCAAUUGGUUAGUUGGUUGUAUUAGAAGAAGCAUGGGAAUUGAAGAAACGUAUAUCCUUCUUUACAACUUUCUUCUUUACCCCCAGGUUAUGUUUCUAUCUUCCUUGGGUUUUUUUUUGAGUCCUGUAGAAUUUUUUUUAUCACUGAUCAUCGUCUUCUUCCAGGGAUGUGAAUGAAAAAGGUUUGAAUUUGUAGCCUUCACCACUGUAGAAUUUCCCCUGGAAUUCGACCCAAUGAAGACGCAAGGCGUGGAGAAAAGCACUCAGAGUUUCCAUCAUGAGGAGUAUGAAUGCCGUUGCAAAGGCAAAAACUACGAAUCCAAUCAAUCUGAUAAUUAUGUUGUCGUACCUAAAAACCCAUUGUAUUUGCGUAAAUAUGAAUCAUAAAAAUGGACUGACUUUGAAAAACAAAAGACCGUAACAAUAUGAAAAAUUACGAGGGCGAGUACUCACCCCCAAGCAAGGAGAAGGAUCUUCUCAUAAAAUACCGUAGAUAGCUCCGAGUGUGCCAAACUGGAAAUUUAGUAAUACCAAUGAUAUAAAGUCCCGAUAAAUAUUUUACAAAGAUAAUAAUCAAAAUAUACCUUAGAGCCCAAAGCCGAAGGUAUGACGCAGUGUUUGAUACAGCACUUAAGACAAAUUCAAUUGAAUGUAUCAUUUGAUGUACAAAAACCUCAGUGAAAUUGAAUUCAUCGUGGUGCUGUCUUGCAGAAUCAGGUUCGACUUCAUAUGCUUCAGAUG
rnacentral:lncRNA from 1 species